rnacentral:tRNA from 1 species
GCCGGUGUAGCUCAGUUGGAUAGAGCGCUUGACUGUGGAUCAAGAGGUCCCCGGUUCGACCCCGGGCGCCGGCA